GUUGAUCCGGUAGGAUUAUGCAGGAUUACUUACUGAGCCGUGUAGCUCAUAUCCGUUUAUUUACUUUUUUCUUUCAGAUCCUCACCACUGAUAGCUGCCAGAGACACGUUAAUUUGGUAUUAGCGCUUCUUUCUUUUGGGGUAAAGCAAGUAUAUACUUUUGUGUAUAUAAACUACGUAGAAGCUCUGUAUUUGGGUACUGACCAGCAUGUUGUACUAGAUGAAUACACAUGAAAAGAUUUGGUUGGUUUGACUACUCUGUUACCCAGAUAUGAGGCUGCGUGCUAUUGUGGGCGGUAGUCGGCAAUAGCACGGCCGUGUCACGGGUCCGGGUCCGGGGCGUGACAUUAUCGUGGUAUCAGAGCAAUAGGUUAAUCAUGAGUAAAAACGUUAAGUUUUAAUAAGGAAAUGGGUAGUUAAGUCUCAUUUAGUGAGAUUCCGCAUAACCGGAAAGGAAAGAAAAGAUUUUAUUAGUCGUAUCAUCAGUCAAUCACGAAAAUUUCUUGACAUAAAUAUUUUGAUAGACGACAAUGAGCAACAAAAAGAAAGAAGUUAAGGCUAAUACAAAAUCAUUCUCGGGGACAUGAUUGUGACAGGUAUGAUAUCAGAGUUUAAGAUUUAAGACUACUAAGGAUUUUGGUGUUUUGAAUCAGAAUGCUAACGAGCCAUGCCAAAAUAAGAAAAAGCUAG
rnacentral:lncRNA from 1 species